rnacentral:rRNA from 1 species
AGGAUGAACGCUGGCGGCGUGCCUAACACAUGCAAGUCGAACGUCCUGUCUCGCAAGAGGCAGGGAGUAGCGGACGGGUGAGUACCACGUGGGUCAUCUACCGUGAGGUGAGGAAUACCGGCGAGAAAUCGCCGACAAGACCGCAUAGGCUCGAUGCAAGUCGAGCAAAGCUCUUUCGAGAGAGGGAGCGCCACACGAGGAGCCUGCGCCCGAUUAGCUAGCUGGUGGAGUAAUGGUUCACCAGGGCGACGAUCGGUAGCUGGUCUGAGAGGACGAUCAGCCACACUGGGAUUGAGAACGGCCCAGACUCCUACGGGGGCAGCAGUGAGGAAUUUCGCCAAUGGGGCAACCCUGAACGAGCAACGCCGCGUGCAGGAAGAAGGUUUUCGGAUCGUAAACUGCUUUUCUCGGGGAAGAGAACGGACGGUACCCGAGGAAUCAGCCCCGGCUAACUACGUGCCAGCAGCCGCGGU